AACGUAGGAGACAAACGUUAUCCGGAGUUACUGGGCGUAAAGGGCGUGUAGGUGGUUUUGUAAGUCUGGCGUGAAAUUUCUCGGCUUAACCGAGGCAGGUCGUCGGAUACUAUAAGACUAGAGGGCGGUAGAGGCGUGUGGAAUUCCGGGUGUAGUGGUGAAAUGCGUAGAGAUCCGGAGGAACACCAGUGGCGAAGGCGACACGCUGGGCCGUACCUGACGCUGAUGCGCGAAAGCGUGGGGAGCGAUCCGG
rnacentral:rRNA from 1 species